GUGGGGAAUUUUGGACAAUGGGCGCAAGCCUGAUCCAGCAAUGCCGCGUGCAGGAAGAAGGCCUUCGGGUUGUAAACUGCUUUUGUACGGAACGAAAAGGCUCUGGUUAAUACCUGGGGCUCAUGACGGUACCGUAAGAAUAAGCACCGGCUAACUACGUGCCAGCAGCCGCGGUAAUACGUAGGGUGCAAGCGUUAAUCGGAAUUACUGGGCGUAAAGCGUGCGCAGGCGGUUUUGUAAGACAGACGUGAAAUCCCCGGGCUCAACCUGGGAAUGGCGUUUGUGACUGCAAAGCUGGAGUGCGGCAGAGGGGGAUGGAAUUCCGCGUGUAGCAGUGAAAUGCGUAGAUAUGCGGAGGAACACCGAUGGCGAAGGCAAUCCCCUGGGCCUGCACUGACGCUCAUGCACGAAAGCGUGGGGAGCAAACAGGAUUAGAUACCCCUGUAGUCC
rnacentral:rRNA from 1 species